rnacentral:rRNA from 1 species
GUCAGCUCGUGUCGUGAGAUGUUGGGUUAAGUCCCGCAACGAGCGCAACCCUCGUCCUUAGUUGCUAGCAGUUCGGCUGAGCACUCUAAGGAGACUGCCUUCGCAAGGAGGAGGAAGGUGAGGACGACGUCAAGUCAUCAUGGCCCUUAUGGCUAGGGCUACACACGUGCUACAAUGGGGCGUACAGAGUGUUGCGAUACCGCGAGGUGGAGCUAAUCACUUAAAGCGUCUCUCAGUUCGGAUUGGAGUCUGCAACUCGACUCCAUGAAGCUGGAAUCACUAGUAAUCGUAGAUCAGCAAUGCUACGGUGAAUACGUUCCCGGGUCUUGUACUCACCGCCCGUCACACCAUGGGAGUUGAUUUCACCCGAAAUCGGGAAGCCAACCUUCGGGGGGCUACCGCUUACGGUGGAAUUAGCGACUGGGGUGAAGUCGUAACAAGGUAACC